GAAGUAAAGAUUACAAAGUAUACAAAGGGAAAGGAAAGUAUUUUCCCAAAUUAAUCAGUGUAAAUUUUCAAAAGGUAAAUCUUUCUGGCUAACAUGUAUGGUAGCCUUAGUAAUUGGAGAAGGAGAAACGAUAUCAGAAGCCGAAGGUGGCUCAAUAAUAGGGGCAGUUUCAACUAAUGAAACAAUAACAAGGGGUUUGUAAGCUGAGGAGGCUCAACUAGGAGUGAUGGAGGUAUCUAAGGCUUCAAAGGUUAAAGAGGCCUCAAAAGAUAAGAUAUUAGUGACAUUUUCUUCACAGGCCUCUAGAAAGUUCAUAUUCAAAUCAGGAUGAAAAUCCCUAAUAAUGUCAAGUAUAUCGUUAUCCACUUCAAUGAGUUUGGCUUCGCAAGCGCCUACCUCAACAAGGCUAGACUCUGUAAUAGCAAGCUUUGUUUCACUACUUUCUACUCAAUUGCGAUGCAAGGCUAAUUCAUUUGUCACUUUUUCAAGGUCUCUAGCAGAAAUGUAUUGCUCAAACUCUGUCAAUCGAAUUUCCUCUCGAAGUUUGGAAAUCUCAUGAUUAGACUUCUCAGUAAAGGCUUGAUGAUUCUUUUUUACUUACUCCAAAUCUUCAUAAGUUCUACGAAUAUCAGCUGGCAGGGUAGCUUCUUUGUUGUAUAAACUUCAGCUCUUCUGGCUAACUCUUUAAAUUUCGCCUUUUCUUUCUUUGUCGCCUCUAUUUUUCUUUUGAAGAACAUCACAUUUUUCUUUAAAGAAUGCACUUUCUUGUCCAAAAUGUUAGCUCGCAG
rnacentral:lncRNA from 1 species